rnacentral:rRNA from 1 species
CACACUGGGACUGAGACACGGCCCAGACUCCUACGGGAGGCAGCAGUGGGGAAUUUUGGACAAUGGGCGAAAGCCUGAUCCAGCAAUGCCGCGUGUGUGAAGAAGGCCUUCGGGUUGUAAAGCACUUUUGUCCGGAAAGAAAUGGCUCUGGUUAAUACCUGGGGUCGAUGACGGUAUCGGAAGAAUAAGGACCGGCUAACUACGUGCCAGCAGCCGCCGUAACAC